rnacentral:rRNA from 1 species
UACGUAGGGGGCAAGCGUUGUCCGGAAUUAUUGGGCGUAAAGCGCGCGCAGGCGGUACAUUAAGUCUUGUGUUUAACUCCAGGGCUCAACCCUGGCACGCAUGGGAAACUGGUGUACUGGAGUGCAGGAGAGGAAAGCGGAAUUCCACGUGUAGCGGUGAAAUGCGUAGAGAUGUGGAGGAACACCAGUGGCGAAGGCGGCUUUCUGGCCUGCAACUGACGCUGAGGCGCGAAAGCGUGGGGAGCAAACA